rfam:Schistosoma mattheei strain Denwood, Zambia genome assembly, scaffold: SMTD_scaffold0004595
ACCUUGCUGACGAGUGCCAAAUAACGCGAAACCUGGGUCCAGGGU